GGCUCAUUGGUCUAGUGUUAUGAUUCUUGCUCUGGGUGUAAGAGUCCACGGGUUCAAAUCCCGGAUAAGCCC
rfam:Daphnia pulex DAPPTscaffold_223_Cont7386, whole genome shotgun sequence.